rnacentral:rRNA from 1 species
UAAUACGGAGGGUGCAAGCGUUAUCCGGAUUCACUGGGUUUAAAGGGUGCGUAGGUGGGUUGGUAAGUCAGUGGUGAAAUCCCCGAGCUUAACUUGGGAACUGCCAUUGAUACUAUCAGUCUUGAAUACCGUGGAGGUCAGCGGAAUAUGUCAUGUAGCGGUGAAAUGCUUAGAUAUGACAUAGAACACCAAUUGCGAAGGCAGCUGGCUACACGAAUAUUGACACUGAGGCACGAAAGCGUGGGGAUCAAACAGGAUUAGAUACCCUGGUAGUCCACGCCCUAAACUAUGGAUACUCGACAUACGCGAUACACAGUGUGUGUCUGAGCGAAAGCAUUAAGUAUCCCACCUGGGAAGUACGAUCGCAAGAUUG